GCAGUCGUGGCCGAGUGGUUAAGGCGAUAGACUAGAAAUCCAUUGGGGUCUCCCCCCACAGGUUCGAAUCCUGUCGACUGCG
rnacentral:tRNA from 2 species